rnacentral:rRNA from 1 species
GACGAACGCUGGCGGCGUGCUUAACACAUGCAAGUCGAACGGAAAGGCCCUGCUUUUGUGGGGUGCUCGAGUGGCGAACGGGUGAGUAACACGUGAGUAACCUGCCCUUGACUUUGGGAUAACUUCAGGAAACUGGGGCUAAUACCGGAUAGGAGCUCCUGCUGCAUGGUGGGGGUUGGAAAGUUUCGGCGGUUGGGGAUGGACUCGCGGCUUAUCAGCUUGUUGGUGGGGUAGUGGCUUACCAAGGCGUUGACGGGUAGCCGGCCUGAGAGGGUGACCGGCCACAUUGGGACUGAGAUACGGCCCAGACGCCUACGGGAGGCAGCAGUGGGGAAUAUUGCACAAUGGGCGGAAGCCUGAUGCAGCAACGCCGCGUGCGGGAUGACGGCCUUCGGGUUGUAAAACGCUUUCGCCUGUGACGAAGCGUGAGUGACGGUAAUGGGUAAAGAAGCACCGGCUAACUACGUG